UACGAAGGGGGCUAGCGUUGCUCGGAAUCACUGGGCGUAAAGCGCACGUAGGCGGAUUGUUAAGUCAGGGGUGAAAUCCUGGAGCUCAACUCCAGAACUGCCUUUGAUACUGGCAAUCUAGAGUCCGGAAGAGGUGAGUGGAACUCCUAGUGUAGAGGUGGAAUUCGUAGAUAUUAGGAAGAACACCAGUGGCGAAGGCGGCUCACUGGUCCGGUACUGACGCUGAGGUGCGAAAGCGUGGGUAGCGAACAGG
rnacentral:rRNA from 1 species